rnacentral:rRNA from 1 species
CAGCCGCCACGGUAAUACAGAGGGUGCGAGCGUUAAUCGGAUUUACUGGGCGUAAAGCGUGCGUAGGCGGCUUUUUAAGUCGGAUGUGAAAUCCCUGAGCUUAACUUAGGAAUUGCAUUCGAUACUGGGAAGCUAGAGUAUGGGAGAGGAUGGUAGAAUUCCAGGUGUAGCGGUGAAAUGCGUAGAGAUCUGGAGGAAUACCGAUGGCGAAGGCAGCCAUCUGGCCUAAUACUGACGCUGAGGUACGAAAGCAUGGGGAGCAAACAGGAUUAGAUACCCCAGUAGUCCCUGUCUUUAUACA